rnacentral:rRNA from 1 species
AACGAACGCUGGCGGCAUGCCUAACACAUGCAGGUCGAACGAGACCUUCGGGUCUAGUGGCGCACGGGUGCGUAACGCGUGGGAAUCUGCCCUUGGGUUCGGAAUAACACAGAGAAAUUUGUGCUAAUACCGGAUGAUGUCUUCGGACCAAAGAUUUAUUGCCCAGGGAUGAGCCCGCGUAGGAUUAGCUAGUUGGUGGGGUAAUGGCCUACCAAGGCGACGAUCCUUAGCUGGUCUGAGAGGAUGAUCAGCCACACUGGGACUGGGACACGGCCCAGACGCCUACGGGAGGCAGCAGAGGGGAAUAUUGGACAAUGGGCGAAAGCCUGAUCCAGCAAUGCCGCGUGAGUGAUGAAGGCCUUAGGGUUGUAAAGCUCUUUUACCCGGGAUGAUAAUGACAGUACCGGGAGAAUAAGCUCCGGCUAACUCCGUGCCAGCCGCCGCCGUAACAC